GGCGGCGGCGGCGGGAACGGGAACGGGAACGGGCGGCCCGAGGCCGUGAGGCGGGCGGGGACGGACCGGCACGAACCAUAGAGAGGAGCUACCGCGGCCCGCCCUGACCGGGGGGGGGCUUGCGGGGCCCCGGGGGGGCCCUUGUGGGCCUGGGGGGCGGCCGGGGGUCCCCGGGGUUCUGGGGUGGGAGCGCGGGGCUGUGAGCAGGGCCCGGGGGUCGCUGCGUGCCCUGGGCAGCGCUGAGUGGGUGACCCCGUUGUGGCUUCUCAGGACUUGAAGGGGGCUUAUAGAAAGAUGGGGAGCGACUCUUUGCUCAGUCAGAUGUUGACCGGAUGAGGGGGAAUGGCUUUAAACUAAAAGAGGGGAGGUUUAGAUGAGAGGUCAGGAAGAAAUUCUGCACUCAGAGGGCAGUGAGGCACUGGCACAGGCUGCCCAGAGAGGCUGGAGGUGUGUCCCAUCCCUGGAGGUGUUCCAGGCCAGGCCGGAUGAGGCCCCGGACAACCUUAUCCAGUGGGUGCCAUCCCUGCCCGUGCUGGGGGUUUGGCACCGGGUGAUCUUUGAGGCCGCUUCCAACCCCAACCAUUCUAUGACUGUGAUUCCUGAUCCAGAGCAGCCUGCAGCAGCAGCUGAGACAGGCCUCUGAGCGGGCCGUGGUUUAGCCAAGGAGAAGCUGCGUACUGCAAAGUCCUUCUACAGCAAAACAGUAAUGUCAGGUGUGAUCAGAAACUCACGUAAUCCUGAAAUUGGUGAUGUGAUUAAGUAUAAAUGUUCAUAAGUAAGAAAUGGGUACGUAUUUGAAGUACUGGUGAAUAGAAAUGUGUUAAAAAACGCAUUACAUUUGGGUCAUGCGUGAGCCUGCACCCACCUCUGUCGGCAGGCAGCCCGAGUCCAUGUCUAUUGCUGGCGGGGGGCUCCCUGCCCGCUGCUUGCUGUCUGCCUCCGGGUUUGCUUCAACUGCCUUGCAACAGGAGAUGGCAGAGUUCCCAACCAGCAGCGUGGCACGCCUGUGUGAGAAAUAGAUAUGCUUCAUAUUCUCUUUACCCUAGUGGUUUCCUUCAGAAGUAUGAAUAUUGCUGCCCCUGUGCUCAUUCCAGCUGAACUGUGUACUUUAAUGUUUAUUUCUUAGUUCCAUAGGCACAGAAAUUCUUGGUGAUUCUGGCAAUUUGUCUCUUUUUCCAGAGUAUGGUUUUCCCGUUGCUGGUAAUUCUUGUUAUGAACUCAUAGUUCUUGUUCAGUAUAAUCCCUGUUUUAUGCGUGGCCGGCUGCAAGUUUCAGCUCUGAGCGGGGCUUUUCAGCAGAUGUGGAAUUGUUUUCUCUUCCAUCAGCCUAGGAGCCUGCUCUAACUACCAAAUUUCUUUUGGCUUUCCAUGGCUUUUAUUUUUUUUUGUAGUGUCAUAUAUGGGACACACCCUUUAUCCUUUUCACCCCAGAUUUGUCCUUAUACCUUAAUUACCAGGUCAUUUAGUUGUAUGUUUUGGUAAAUGUAUCUGUGUGAAGCCAAGGAUGUUAUGAUUGUUUCAUGUUAGCAGACUAGUAUCUCCUAGGCUACUAAGUUUGUCUGGGGAUGAAGACUGCAUGCAAGAUAGAAAUAUUGGCAUUUUCACUCUAUAAUCUUGCCUUAAUUUUCUCUCUUAUCAAGGUGGUAUCAGUAAUUAAUGCCCCCAGAAAAUUCAGCUGUGUUUGCUGGUAUCAUUUCAUCCAAGAUCUCCCAGCUAAUCAUGGCGUUAUCAUUGCUGUUAGUCCUCGUUUUCUUUCAAGUCCCCAGCUGUUCGGUGCGCGAUACUCUGUCUUUUCUGCAACUGGCGAGUCAAUAGCAGCGCUAAUCUGUUUUGAUUCAUAUCAUGAGGAUGCCACAGGAGCUGGAACAACUUCAGUUGUGCGGUUGCUGCGCAUUUAUUGCUUUUACUCUGGAGAAGGAAAAUAGCUGAAUGAAGAGGAGAUGAGAGGGAAGCUCUGAGAGAUGAGGAAGGGGCCUGUGCAGAGCGAGAAUAAAGCGGAGAUAGCAAGGUGCGGAGCAAGUGGAGCAAGGGGCAGAGAUGUGGGGUAAGGUGGCUAAAGGAGUGUGUGUGGAAGAGAAGUGACUGGAGCUGUGCAGGCAGGACGGCGUGUCCCGCGUGAGGGCAGCUCCCUGCAUCUUUUCAGGUCAGGUCCUUUGUGUCCUUGCAGCUGGCAGUGAGAGAGUGGAAAGGACACGGAGAAUGACGAGGUGAUAAGCCAUGAGGAAUUGCUGCAGGUCCAGAGCGCCCUGCUGCAGCUUUUCUGAUAGCUGGUGGUGGGAUUUUGUUCCGUGCUCCCAAGGGUGCUGAGGGAACCGGCUGAUGUCAUUGUUGGGGCGCUUUGGAAGGUCGUGGUGAGCAGGGAGAGGUUUCUGAUGAUUAAAAAAGGGCAAACUUCAUACAUGCAUUCAGGAAAGGUGGGAAGAAGGAUUGGGCAGUUAUAAAACAGGCAAUGUAACCUCGCUCUCUGGACGGUGAUGGCACGCCUUCUGGAAACUGUCAGCAUGUGGAGGAGAGGAAGGUGAUUGCGGGCAGCCAGCGUGGGUUUGACAAGGGCAAACCGUGCCUCUCCGGCCCGAUUGCCAUCUGUGAUGAGACAGGCUCAGCGAACAAGGGGAGAGCCGUGGGUGUUGUUUACCUUGACUUUCGCAAGGCCUUUGACAUUGUCUCCCAUAGUAUCAUCGUAUCAAAUUGGUGAGGUAUGGACUGGAUAAAUGGACUAUAAAUCGGAUGGAAAAUUGCUUGGAUUGCUGAGCUCCGAUGAUGGAGAUCAGUGGGCUAGCACACAGAGUGUACCUGAAGAGGCUGAGAGAACUGGAUUUGUUAUCACAUAAUAAUUUUGAGAAAAUACUUUGCUCUUUAAGGAAUAUAUUUAUUUUGGUGCAAGGAGGAAAACAUACUGGUUGUAGAAGGCAAUUUAACCUCCUCGAAUUUCAAUGUUUGUUUUUAUUACCAAUUCUCAGGCCUUACAAAAGCCUUGGAAUUGAAACCACUCUUUUAUUCAUUGGUUUAAAUGCUCAUUAAUGGCAGUCCCCUAUUAAAGUCCAGGCAAAACCCACUUAUCUGCAAGUUCUUCAUAAUGUCUUUGAGGCACUUGCCACUGGAACUUUAUUUCCUGGGUGCUGGAACUGUUUCCUCCUGUCUCUGCUAAGUUAGGUAUUUAUUUCAUCUGUGUUUUCUUUUUCUGCAUCUUGAGCAAAGUAACUCGGUGGAACAUGUAAGCUUUGAUGCACGGUUUUUCUCUAGCUGGAAAUUUAUGGUUUUAAAAAAAAAUCAUGCGACUUUGACCAAGUAUACUUGAAAUGCUGUAAUUACAGAUGAUCUAGUUUCACAGCUCACAGACAAAGAAAAUGUGUUUGUUUUACUUUAUUAGAUUUCUUAUAAUAUGUUCAUACAAAAACAAAUGUGCAUAUACACACUCCGUCAAUACUGCCAACUGCAAUUUAUUAAGGUUUAUAAAUUUAUUCCACUAGGUCACUUUAUUGUUAAACAGACAUUGAAUGCAGAAUCAAUGCUAAAGAUGGGGAGGCUAAAUUUCAAAGUAAACAAUCUCAUCUUUCUGUUAAUAGGUUUAUAAGAGACAUUUUUGAGGAAAUCAUAAUUAAUCACAGACCUUGAACCUGGACUGUAUUUCUCUUAAUGCAGUUGUAUUUUUCUAAUAUGAAAAUAAGAGAGAGAAAGUGUCUGGACAUAAGCAGGAGCUUGCACCGCUGCUCCACUCCUCCCUGAGAGCUGCAAAGCCCCUCAGUCAGUCACCGUAAUCCAGAGCUGAAACGGGGGACGCGUUUUGGGGAUAUAUCUCGUUGCUUUGUGAUGAACUCGGAGGCCCUGGGAGAAUCUCUUGGUGUUGACAGCCCCUGACAGUAAAUGUCACAUGAAUUCGGAGGGAGCUCAGAGCCUUCUGGUGACUGCUAUGAGAAGAGACAUCAUGACAGAAAGCCUGAUUGAUGAGCAAUGCCACGAGUAGAGGGAGCGCUGUGUGGUGAUUGCCUAUAAUUGAAUGGUCCGUGGAAGUUAUUUCUGGGUUCCCUUUGAACGGUGACAUGCACUCCAGAAGUGUUUUCACGUGGGAGACCUACAGAUUUUAACCCUUGUACUCAGCAAUUCCCUGUUAACGCUGCAUUAACAGACUUUAAAACUUAAUGGGCUGUUUUCACGUCAGGUCCAACGCUGGGCCAUAUCAUAAUAAUUAAACAAGCGUCGACAACCAGCGAUGGUCAGCCGUGCAAUUACCUUUAGAAAUGUUUCAUUGUCAGCUUUCGCCUCCUCCUCUCAGCGCUUUCUCCUUGUGGCUCAGCUCUGUGAUCUGACAGCACGGAGACGUUGAUUAUCAAGGUUCUCCCUGAUUCUGAUGAUGUGCUCCUGUGACACGGACUUGUCGCAGCCGUGUUAAGCACAACAGUGAUGCUUGUGGCAUUAAAUGGGAAUGUGAGACGUUGUAGCCCCCUCACCCAGCAAAGCAUCUGCUCUCACUGACCAAUUAAAUUGGCUUCUCUCUCAUUAAAACCCUUGUGCAGACUCUGACAUCUCCUCUGGGCCAUAUUGAAAGACCUGAGCUGACUUGAACUGCUGAAUCCGUAGGGAGGAUUUCAACACAGCUCUAAGUGCUGGGACAUUGGAGCCGUGCAAGAAGGAAGAGGGAGAGAAAUUCAAGCCCUCCCCCCCUUGCCUUUGAGUAUGCAGUCAUGAAUGAGAUGAAAGGAUUAAGUGUGUUGGCCUAGCCUGGUGUCUGGGAAGGAUGGAAAGAUCAGCCACUACAAUUUCACCAUUAAGUGUGAACAGGCUAUCAAUAAAAUAUUGAAUGGAACUGAUGAACAGCUGAGUAGCUAUUCCAUUUGUACUUUAAAUUUCACAGUGAACCAUUGGAAACUGCUCUCAGAGUGUGGAUUCCAACCAGAUUUGUGUCGUGCCCUCAACCUGGGCAUUCUUGUACUCGCAUCUCAUGUUGGAUGAAGUUAGAAGUCUCAGUAGCAUUGAGAAAGCCUGGAUCUCUUCAGUAAAGUGUUUUCUGAACUCUAAUAUAUGCUCAGUGUUGACACGGGCUUAUUCACAGAAGAGGAUGACCUUUGCACAGCUCAGUGGCAGGUACUCAGUGUGAGGCUGAAAAUGUUCUUGGUGAUGAAGCUGAGACACACGGGAAUUUACUGAGGGCAGGGGUGAAAAGUGAAUCAGUAUGGAUUUUGUAACAGAGAGGUGAGUCAUUUUUUUAAUAGUGAGGACUUCUGCAUAUUACCUCUAGGUGAGUUCUAUUACAAGGCAGCUGUUAACAUAUUGCUGUGAAUUAGCUUGGAAAAAAAUUAAAAUUGCAAAAGCACACAAAUUUUAAAUAGACAGAAAUAAUCAUGACAAUAAAAAUGGUUGAAAGAACAGAGCUACAGCAACAAGGUAUCAUUUCUUAAAUAAAUGGGUAGCUAGGAAAGGGUGUAGGGAGACAUGCUGCUUGGAGAUCACAGAGGCACCUAGGCUUGACAGUUUCUAUGACUGCAUGAAACUGAGAAACACAGCCAAACCCCCGCUCUCUCCUAGCGUGUUAUACUGCACAGCAAUCAGGUUUAGUAACACAUUGCUGAGAGAGACUCCCACUAUUUAGUAUUCAUUAUAGAUGGCAUUUUUCAGAUUGCAGCGCAGCAGUGUAAACAAGUGGUGCUGGAGGAAGAGUGGAGAACAGCAUUUCUCCAAGUUCUGAUUUAUUUGUUGUUGAUAUUCACUGAGCUACACAAACUUGUGGUACCGCCAAUUUUGGGAAAGGAAAGUAACUCUCAAACCACCAGGAUUUUCCAACACUCUUGCAGGAGACCAACACUGCAGGAGGCAAAACACAGUUCCUGCAGGUGGACAUGCAUGUGACUUCCUUGUGAGGCUGAAACAUCUGGUACAUCUUGUUCUGUGAGUUGUUGUGGAGCUGCAGGCCUGCCUGGGUGCUGCCAGCUGCCUGGUCUGUAUUCCCAUUUACACCAUGCUUUGUACCCCUUGUCUGCAUGAGGAAGGAGCCUGUCCCUGCAGAUGGGGUGCUACUGUGCUGGACACCCACAGCUGCGAGCAGAAAGCUUCCUGGACAGGCUGGUAUUCUGAGGGCGACCAGUAUCCUCAGGAUACCGAGUCUGACCAGCUGCUGACGUGUCCAACUCUGGGACAACACCAGCUGAUGCCAUAGCACCCAAAGAGCUAUUCCCCCUGUGUGCUUGCCCUGCUUUGCAGAGAGAGGUGCAUGGCUACUCUGCAUCCCGUGGAGGUUUGCCCGCUCUUAGCUGUGUUUUGUAUGUUUGUUUGUGGUGUUGUUUGUUUGUUUGUUUGUUUUCUGACACCAUUUUUUUUUCCAAGUCAGCUGGACACCAGCCACUCAGAAAGCAACACAGCUUUGCUAUCAUCCAUAAAUCAUUAAUUCCUAUAGGCCACAAGGGUGCAGUGCUGUGGCAGUCCUCUCUAUCCUUCCCUCUCCAGCUGGAGGUGUUCUGUUUCCUCCAAAGUGUCUCUGCUUUUGAAACACCUCGGUGGAUGGAUACCUAUCUUUUUUUUUUUUUUUUUUUUGAGCAUUAAUGACAGAUUGUCUUAAGGAGGGGGGGUAUUUGAUUACUCCCACAACUACUUCACAGUAAUACUUAACUUAAAACUGGGAUCUGCUCAAAAGUGUGUGAGCUUCCUAAAAGGAAAUUAAAAACAGCUGUUAUAAGCAUGCAGAAGAUGAGAAACUAGAUGAAAAUAUCCUAUUUGAAGCUCAGAGCAAUAUAUCACUAAGUGGAAUAAUUCUGCAAGGGACCAAAAAGACAAUAUUCGAACAGUCAAGUAGAAGAGAGUAUUCAAAAUCUGGGAGUUCUGAGCAAAUAAAGAAACUAUUAAAAACAAAACAAAACAAAAAAUACCAACACACACACAAAACACCAGAAGCCACCAACACAAAACAUAAACUGUCAAGCUAAACCUGAAAGGCAGUCAAGGGAAAACUUUAAAGAAAAACUCAGUAAAAGAAUAAUAAAAACUGCUAGUAAAAAUAUUUUCAAAAUUGCCAGAAUCAGGUACUUUUCCAGAGGUUUGUGACUUACUGUAAGAGAGGAAAAGUACUGAAAAGCAAACCUUUGUUGGUGCUCACUGUGGUUGAGGUAGGUUACUCUCCUGUGAGAGCCAAACUUAUGGGGACAAGUGUAAGGAACUGUCUCAAAUUAAAUGACAUUAAAAUACAUUUUGGGACUAAUUGAUAAGAUGAAGAGUCAGAAAGUGCCCAGACCAUAUGGUAUUCACUCAAGAGCUCUGAAGGAAAACAAAUAUGCAAUUAUGGAGCUACUAUAGUUUGUAACCUGUCACUUAAAUCAGUCUCCCUGCAGGAAGGAUGGAAGAUGGUAAAUGUGACAACAGUCUCCAAGAAGGUCCCCAGGAGUGAAGUGGAGAACUGCAGACCGUCACAUUGGAGUCUCUACUGAGCAAAUCAGAAGCUCUGGCCUCAAACCGCUCUGGGUGUGUGAUGCGAUAGCCAGGUGUGCAACGAAGACAGUAGCUGAAGCAAUUGCUGAAGCAUUAGUGACUAUCCUGGAAGUUCUUGGAAGUGCAGGACUGAACCAGUGAUGCUGUGGCUGAGGGGAGGCAGAGGUUGGCAGCUGAGGGCUGGAGCUGCAGCCACAUCCUCAAAUUGCAGCAGUGGAGUUUGUUGCUGUGGUUGUGCUGGGGCUGCUGGGGAAAGAGCUGGGUUAGCUGAGUGCUGCAGUGCCUCUCAAGCUGGUGAAAGAGCUACAGUGUCAGGCUCUGCAAUGAAGGCAGAAUCCUUGCCAUUCAGGGUGGAGGACUCCAGAGGGUCACAGCAGAGGGCUGCAUCCACAGGAGACACCUGGAGCAGCUGACUGUGCAGUGCUGACAUCUGAGAAGAUUUCUAACAUGAUGUUACACCAUGCGAUUCGCUGCUGACACCACCUUUCUCACUGCAGAGCAAACCCCUUCAAACCAGAGCAGCCCCAUUCACCAUCUCUGGGUGCAUCUGCAACUUGUAUGGGAUUUUACACUGAUCAUAUCUCAAGGAGGAUUUAGAAGAGCGGUGUUUGCAGGCUGGAGAUCUGCUGGCUUCCUAAAGCUCCCAGGCGCCACCAUUCCCCUGCAUGUGACACGUGCGUUGCCCUCAAAUUCAGUGGAAGGCUCACUCAGGACAGCUCACGGCUGCAUGUGACUGUGCUGUGACAACAACCAGGACGUGUGUGGGGCUCAGAGCUGCCUGCGGGGGCAUCGGGAGUGUGCUUGGCUGAAGGCUGGCCCCUAUCAGUACGCCUCUCAGGACUAGUGUUGGUAAAUGGAAACCUUGUCUACAUCAGGUUGCUUUUCCUUCAGCUCCUUCUUCCUCCUACCCAGUCCUUCACCUCCAAAACCAAGCAGGACACAGAGCUCGCCAGGGUCAUUUUUGUUAAGAAAAUUUUCCCUUCUCCCUUGACAAAGCCCUUGCAUUGGAUACAGCUAAGUUGGUUUCUAACCCUUUUUUUAAAUCUGUAAGUGGCAGAAGCAUCAUGUAUUCACAGCCAAGCACCCAUCCUGAAAUGCAUGAGGUUUCCUGAGCAGUUCAGCGUGAUUUUCUGUUUCUGAGAGUGGAAGGGUUGCUCUUGGUGAGGAAAGAGUAGACCUGUGGGAAAAGGGCAAAAAUACACAUCCUGGGCUGUUGAUUUUAGCUGUGCCCCACAGGGCCAAACACAAGCAAGACAGAGGUGUCUGAAGUACAACUUUGGUGGAGUGCAAAACCCUAAACUGAGGAGGGCGAUCCCUACAAACACCUGUUGGCCUGGAUGUCUCAAGGGUAGGUCUUCUCUAGGUGCUGAGGGUCCCCAUGCUUGUGGGUUCAACCCAGAAAUGUUGGAGAGCCCGUGCCACAGCUCUACCACCCCUAAGCCAGUGUAAAACCAAGUCCUUCCUGUGUCUGCUCAGCCCCUGGGUCUCCUGGCUGCCACAUCCUCAGAAAAUCACUGCACUUUAAUACAUUUAUUUAUGCUUUUUUUUUUUUCUUUUUGAAGCAUGAAAGUGAUUUACAACAUUUUAUAUUACAUUUUUUAAUCCUUUAAAAUUAAAACAAAUCUUUUCUCCGCUUUGCCCAGUUUUAAGACAUCUCUUUUAUUCAGCUCUUGCAGUAAAAUAUGGAUGGAAGCAACUCCUAAAAUCCCUAACCACUGGAAAGAAAAUUGGUAUUUUUUUCAAGUUAAAUACUAUAACAGAGUGAAACAUACAUGUUUAAUUUGGAAAUGUUGAUUCCAAAUGGAUUUUUCUUUAGAAAAAUAAAAAAACUAACUUCCCCCAAGCAAGUCAAUAUUUGUAAUCAAAUUGAAAUUUCCUGUGGGAAUUAUUUAUUUUCAUGAGGUCUAAUUUUUGCAGGGGAAAAUUCUACAUGGGAAGGUUUUAAGUUGCAGUAAACCAGCUUUAGGAAUCUGGGUGGUAGGAGGGGGCUGGGAAGUCCCACUCAUGCUGCUGCAAAGUGUCAUGCACUUGCCUGUGAUGGCGGUGAGCUGAUGAAAGAGUUCGAAGUCCUCUUUGAAGAGGGAAAAGAAUGAGCGGAAAGAAGGGAGAGAAAUUAGAAAGGAGGAGGCAUUCAGUACGGGGUUUUCCCUCUCCCCUUUACAUUUCUUGAAAAAACAGCAGCGUGGCAUGGGAUUCAACUCUGGCAGUGUUACACAUCCAAGUAAGAUACCUGAGGUGGUUAUUUUUGGCUUCCUACAUAGCCAGAGGGGAGAUGUAGCACUUGGGGUGGCAUGUAGUUCACCUACCCUUCUGACAUGUACUGUAGGAUGAGAUGUGCCAUUGAUUUCACCUGCUGUGAAUGGACACGGAGCUGGUGGUGACUGGUCCACCUCCACCGUAACCAGAUGGAUCCCAGCCACAGAGCCCAACGCGUUCACUAGUGGAGGGGGAGCAUGCAAUCUGGCCCCCGACGAGGAGCAGGCACCUCGUGCUGCCAUGGCUGCAUUAAUGGGGCUCCAAGCCAGUUCUCCAGACCUCAUGAGAAGAUGGUACAUUGGUCUUCCAGCGCCUACAAGGAAGCUCUUCUGAGAAAAUGGUCAUGACUUCAACUUAAAGGAAAUCCUGGUCCCUCCCCAGGGCCUAGCUGGAUGGGUCUCAAGGCCAAAGGAAGCACUCUGCAGUAGCGCCCUGUGCGCUGAACGCAUUGCCGGGGCAGAUUUUUGCAAGCCCCCAUCUCCUUAUGUCCACCCUAGCCCAUAAACCACCCCUGUGGCAUAGUAGUGAUAAAACUCUUUGUAUACAUGCGGUGUCGUGGUGCUUGACACAUGCCCCAGGGUCUCACACACAUCCAGCGAAGUUCAGCGCACCAAGCCCUGCACCGCUGUGGCUGCUUGGCAAUCCAGCUGGCACCACAGAGGGAACCCGGAGUCAUCCCCACCUCCUCCCACUUACCUCAACACUUUGCUGGUGGCUGGAGAAGGGAAACAGAAGAUGGCACCCCACCGAGACCCGGUGCCACCCUGCAGGACAGUGGUGACAGCGCAGUGACGUUGCAGGCUCCUCCAGCUGCCUCCACCACCAAGUCCUGGCCCUCUCAGCCCCCUCGGAUCCAGCUGCAUGGAAAAACCUGCGAGAUGACAGAGAGCUCUCUUAUUCCUGCAGUAAUUAAUCCCUUUGGAAUUCAAUUAAUGAGCUCCCCGCUGCAGCUAUCAAGCCUCCAUCAGUUAGGCAAACAGGCGUGCAAGCCAGGCUGGGUCUGUAUGAGCACAAGAUAAAUAUUUCAGCGUGUCCAAGUGGAGCCUGUCCUCCCCAUCCUUUGCAGCUCAGCUUUGAAGUGUUGCCCCACCAGUAGGAAUGCCAGGGCUCUGUUGGUGGUCAGAAGCACUUGUGCCCCCCUCUCACCCAUCCCAGCUGGAGGACAGCUACUGUGUCUGUAAAGGGCAAGGAGAAGGCUCUGGAGGGUGAAGGAUUGUCCCGAGUGUGACCGCUGCAGCACGAUGGUGACCCCAGUCUGGCAUGGUGCAAGGUGUGAACACAGCAUCAGCGCUGAUCGAGACGUGGAAAUGGGCUCAGAUAUGUACUGGUGAUGGUGAAUAACAGCCAUCGCUGGGGCUAGAUAAUGUCUUAUUUUGUAUGUUGCUUUUUUUUGGGUCUUUUUCUACAAGCUUGUCCAGGCUGGAAGUGGAGCCACUGGUGCUUUCUGAGCUGCUCUCCUAGGAUUUUGGAAGUGAGGAGAUGAGAGCUCACUUCAGGCCACCAGCAGCAGGACACCAAAUUUCAAACCCCAGCUGCGGUGGGCUCAUCAGCUCCCCAGACAGGCUUGCUUAAAGAGCAGCAGUGCCUGGUUGCCCACCCAUCCCCAGCGCCCAUCGGGGACCUGGCGGCCCCACGAGUGCACGGGGACAAGCGAAUGGCGCAGCUGUGGCUCCAGUCUGGGGACUUCAGCCCAGGGGUGCAGGUGAUGGAGCACCCCCCUCCCGGCUGCAGUGCCGGGAAAUGCAUCCUCCUGCCACGAUGGAUAUUUCCCAUCAGCAAACUCUAUUCAAAAUGAAACCCAUUAUGGCAAAGAAAAAAAAACAAAAAACAAAAAACACAAAAAACCUCUAAUGUUUGUACUGCAUCAAAAUGAAUGAUGUCACGUGUCCAGGCUGCCUCAGAAAGCACUGAAUUGCCAAAAGAUGGUGAAUGUCUUCAAUAUUUAGUGAGAGGAACCAGAAGGGAGAUGCUAAAACCUAGAGAAACUUUCCAGCUAAUGCUUCUGUUGAUGCAUUUUUUUUUAUUUUUAUUUUUUUUGUCGAAUAGCAUCGUCUGUUUUGCAUUAAACACACCCUUAUUGCACCGGGGACCUUGCAGCAGGAGCUGGCAGCCACUUGUGAUGGAUGCCUGGGUGUUACCAGCUCCUGCAGCCCUGCUCCCACCUCGCCGUCACUUGCCCAGCACCACCCUGCAGCCUGCACUCACCGCGCUCCCUUAGCCUGAGAACCUGAUGUCUCCGUGUAACCUAAAGCAUUAAUUACUGGAUCUUGUGCAGUCCUUGCAGGCAAAGGGAGGGCAACUGGCACUUCCCAGGCUUUGCCCUGGGGGAUGUUUGAGGUCUGUCCAGCUCUCCCCACCAUCGCUCGGUGUCACCAGCCAGGGCACCACUGUGCAAGGCCCUGCUGAAACCCCGGACAGCUGCUGUGCCGAGAGCCACCGAUUGGAGGGCACAGAUACAAAGUGGAUACGAAUUCCUUCUGUAGGAGCAAUUAGGCUGAGAUUAGGCAAAGCUUAAAUAACAUGCGUUACUUUGGGUGGUUUGACCCCCAGCAGUUAUAUUGGAAGUUGACAAGAAAGGUCCUUGGGCAGCAGCAAAAUGCCCCUUCCCACCCGAAUCGCUGCUCUUGCACCACGAAGCCUCGCAGCAUUUUUUUCAGCCUCUAGCAAAGCAUCCCCAUCCCAGCGACGUGAGAAGUGCUGUGCUAUAGGGACAAGCUCAGGGAAGGGUCGGAGGGGUUAUUUCUUAAAGAUGCCCUUUUGGAACCCAAAUUGACUGUUUUUCACAUUCGUUUACUCGUAUUUUGCAAUAAAGGUGGAAUGCAUCGUUUCCCUGGUGAAACGUCGAUUCAUUUGUAUUGCAUCCGCAUUUGUAAGAAAAUGAGGGUCAUGGUGACCCCGUAACCAUUUUGCCAAUAUUCUGCUUGAGUCAUGAUGCUUUGACCGAGAGGAAAAUCCUGAACGUCCAAAAGAACACUUAGCCUCACAAAUUUAAGACCAAACCUUCCUCAUCACCUCCCACCUGCUGAGACCCAACACAUUCAAAUGCCUCAAGACUUUUUUGGGGAAAAAAAUGAAGUAUCAAAGGCUUGGUAUCAAGUAAGUAUCAAACCCUCAGCUCAGAAGCUGAUUUUGGAAAUGCAUUUUUUCCUAGCUUAUAAGAAGUUUUCAGUGCCACCACUCCACCACCUUUUUUUCUGCCAUUCCUGUAAAAUAUUUAGUGCUUUUUAUUCACAAAUUUAGAAACAACUUGGCUGAUCAUCCAGAUGAAAACUGGUUUAAAAAUUAAUUGAAAGCCUUUA